rnacentral:rRNA from 1 species
UGAGGAAUAUUGGUCGAUGGGCGGGAGCCUGAACCAGCCAAGCCGCGUGGAGGAAGAAGGUACAGAGUAUCGUAAACUCCUUUUGUCAGGGGAUAAAAGGCGCCACGAGUGGCGUUCUGAAGGUACCUGAAGAAAAAGCAUCGGCUAACUCCGUGCCAGCAGCCGCGGUAAUACGGAGGAUGCGAGCGUUAUCCGGAUUUAUUGGGUUUAAAGGGUGCGUAGGCGGUCUUUUAAGUCAGCGGUGAAAGCCCGGGGCUCAACCCCGGCGAGCCGUUGAUACUGGGAGACUGGAGAGGAAGAGAGGCAUGUGGAAUUCGCGGUGUAGCGGUGGAAUGCUUAGAUAUCGCGAAGAACUCCGAUUGCGAAGGCAGCAUGCUGGCUUCUGUCUGACGCUGGGGCACGAAAGCGUGGGGAUCGAACAGGAUUAGAUACC